rnacentral:tRNA from 1 species
GGUGGGGUAUCCAAGAGGCCAAAGGACGCGGACUGUAAAUCCGUUCAGCUACGCUGUUCGUGGGUUCGACCCCCACCCCCACCA